ensembl:lncRNA
CUCUUUGAAAGGAACGGAUCGCGAAGAUCCGGAUCCCCUCAAAGAGCCAUAAAUCCCAUCACUAGUCACAACUCUAUUGAGUCGGUCAGUUUAGGCGAUUGAUGCUGGCGUGCUCUGACAGAACCUCGCACGGUUUUCAACGCGGAGUCUGUUUUGGAGUUAAUAUUUCUCAGGUAAAUGCGAAAUAAUGUUAUAUAAUCUUAUUUAUACACGUUUGACGCCAUGUUCGGUUAAUUUUGUUGAACUUGAUGUUCCCCCGCUAAAAAUGCUCGUGUCAGACUGGCUGGUGUAACGUACGUUGGCCUGCAGGAUGGAGCUGGCUAGAAUGUCUAUAGCUAACUUAAUAAAGGAGUGAAUACAAUUUGGUAUCGAAGUCACUGAAGAGGAGAGGAAAAAGUUUGAAGUCUUUUUAUUCAUAUCCCAAAUGAGGGAACGUGAAGACUUAAACAGAAGUUUGGUCAUUCAAAAAAGUCUCUGCAACCUGAAGAAAGCAGUUGCAAAGAAAUUACAAGGCCUUUGGAGAUUAAUGCUCUUGGAGAGGAUGCUACAUCAAUAGAGGGACAUGUGAAAGUCCUGCAGGACCAAUAUAGAAGGACACAGUCAGAGACUCACAUUGUGGAAGAUCGAAUGAGGAGGACCGCUUUUACUUUACUGAGUUUUUCAUUGAAGAGCUAGUUUUUUCUUGACAUGCUUGCUGUUGUGAGAUGUAAUGAAAUCUUUUUAAAAGAACAUUUCUAAAUAAAAUUGUAUAUUUGUAAGCCAAGGUAUUUAUUUAUGCAUGCACACAGA